rnacentral:rRNA from 1 species
CGUGGGAACGUCCCUUUAGGUUCGGAAUAACUNAGGGAAACNUGUGCUAAUACCGAAUGUGCCCCUUCGGGGGAAAGAUUNAUCCCCUUUAGANCGNCCCGCGUCUGAUUAGCUAGUUGGUGAGGUAAAGGCUCACCAAGGCGACGAUCAGUAGCUGGUCUGAGAGGAUGAUCAGCCACAUUGGGACUGAGACACGGCCCAAACUCCUACGGGAGGCAGCAGUGGGGAAUCUUGCGCAAUGGGCGAAAGCCUGACGCAGCCAUGCCGCGUGAAUGAUGAAGGUCUUAGGAUUGUAAAAUUCUUUCACCGGGGACGAUAAUGACGGUACCCGGAGAAGAAGCCCCGGCUAACUUCGUGCCAGCAGCCGCGGUAAUACGAAGGGGGCUAGCGUUGCUCGGAAUUACUGGGCGUAAAGGGAGCGUAGGCGGACAUUUAAGUCAGGGGUGAAAUCCCGGGGCUCAACCUCGGAAUUGCCUUUGAUACUGGGUGUCUUGAGUAUAAGAGAGGUGUGUGGAACUCCGAGUGUAGAGGUGAAAUUCGUAGAUAUUCGGAAGAACACCAGUGGCGAAGGCGACACACUGGCUCAUUACUGACGCUGAGGCUCGAAAGCGUGGGGAGCAAACAGGAUUAGAUACCCUGGUAGUCCACGCCGUAAACGAUGAUUGCUAGUUGUCGGGAUGCAUGCAUUUCGGUGACGCAGCUAACGCAUUAAGCAAUCCGCCUGGGGAGUACGGUCGCAAGAGUAAAACUCAAAGGAAUUGACGGGGGCCCGCACAAGCGGUGGAGCAUGUGGUUUAUUUCGAAGCANCGCGCAGAACCUUACCACCUUUUGACAUGCCUGGACCGCCAGACAGAUCUGGCUUUCCCUUCNGGGACUAGGACACAGGUGCUGCAUNGCUGUCGUCAGCUCCUGUCGUGANAUGUUGGGUUAAGUCCCGCAACGAGCGCAACCCUCCCCANUA